rnacentral:rRNA from 1 species
GACGUAGGGCGCGAGCGUUGUCCGGAUUAUUGGGCGUAAAGAGCUCGUAGGCGGCUUGUCGCGGUCGUCCGUGAAAACCUGGGGCUCAACUCCAGGCUUGCGGUCGAUACGGGCAGGCUCGAGUUCGGUAGGGGAGACUGGAAUUCCUGGUGUAGCGGUGAAAUGCGCAGAUAUCGGGAAGAACACCCUAUGGCGAAGGCAGCUCUCUGGGACGGUAC